GUUGUUGGGUUUCUUUGUGAGAGAGAAGAAGAGAUCGAGAAAUGGCUGAAAGGGUUAGUGGGAAAGUGAAGUGGUUCAGUGACCAGAAAGGCUAUGGCUUCAUUUCUCCCAACGAUGGAGGUGAAGAUCUUUUCGUUCAUCAGUCUUCCAUCAGAUCCGACGGUUUCCGAAGCCUCGGCGUUGGUGAGGAUGUCGAGUUUCUGAUCGAGGCUGAGUCCGAUGGCCGUUCCAAGGCUGUUGAU
rnacentral:misc_RNA from 1 species